UCCCCGUUGCCGAGGCAGUCUCGUAAGACACAAAUAACUUACGACGAGGGUUGCGCUCGUUGAGGGACUUAACCCUACAUCUCACGACACGAGCUGACGACGGCCAUGCAUCACCUGUCACCAGUCCAACUAAAUGACCAUCUAGUUUCCUAGACGUACGACUGGGAUGUCAAGCCUUGGUAAGGUGCUGCGCGUAUCAUCGAAUUAAACCACACGCUCCACCGCUUGUGCGGGUCCCCGUCAAUUCCUUUGAGUUUUAAGCUUGCGCUCGUACUCCCCAGGCGGGAUGCUUAACGCGUUAGCUUUGCUACUGAGCGGGUCGAUACGCCCAACAGCUAGCAUCCAUCGUUUACGGCGUGGACUAC
rnacentral:misc_RNA from 1 species